GCUAUAACCUCUAUGUUUAUCCCCAAGUUAAUGUUAUCAUUUAUAAUAUCCGCCUUUCUUUACCUGAUGCUAGUGUGUAAAAGUGUUGGUAUCAUGUGGGCAAGUAGGAGAAAGAGGGUUAAUAUGUAACUAGGUAUACGCAAUUUUCUCCAGGGGAAAUGUGGAGUUUAGCUUUCAAAUCAUCUUGUUGCAGUUCCCAUGUCUCGGCCUGUUAUUGUAAUCCUCGGUUUAUUGGAAAUAUUUCCUCUGCCAUGAGGCUUAACUCUUUCUUUUCUUUCCGUUUCUUUGUUUUUGUUUUGUAAGAUGUAAACCCGGAAAUUAUGAAAAGAAAUGUCAAACUUCAUGAAUCAUGUCCGAACAAGCUUGGCUUACCACUUUACCAGUAAUAUUAUCUAAGGUAGAAAAUGAAUCAUAAAUUCCAGUCUCAUACUCUUAAUGUCCAGUUUUGAAUCCUCAAAAUUUUCCUUUAAGAGCUCAUUGAUGCUAAGUGUUGAGCUCCCUCCCUCUCUCUCUAAAAAUUUCGUUUAAGACAGUACCGAGGUGAUUAGGACUGUAUUUGCUUUGUGAAUAUAUUAUUUUAUGGGAUUAUAGUCCUUGGCUUGGACAAGUUUGGUACGAUCAUUUGUGGUUCGGUUAGGAAUAAAAACAUUUUCUUGUGUCGCAGCUGCAGGAUCAGAAUUUUCUAUGCACUGAAACCCUUGAUAACUCUUCAUUAGCUGAAGAGAACAUAAGUUUAAGGGUUUUCAUUUUGAGAGGUGAGAGGUAAAUAUUGGGUCCAUGGUGAAUGCCAUAUUUAAUGAUCAUGACUGCUUCUGUUUGUGUCUUCAAUGUGCUAACUUUCGAUUCUAAAGUUUUGUAUGACAUACACGCAGGACACAUGCAUGCCCGUGCAUAUGCACACACACACACGCACAGCUAAUGAAAUGGAGAAGUAGCUCAAGUUUGCAGUGGAAUACAUCGAUGAUUGCUUCAGUUACAAUAUGUCAAUGUAUGUGUUAAUGAACAUACAUUGACAUAUGUGCUAAUGAAUUCAUUAAAAAAUGUUGACAUACCAGACACCCGGAUACACUUGGAAGCUAAAGAAGAACCCUUUUUAUGAGCACAUGCUUAGAAGACAGUUGCAUUAAAACUAUAAAAAACAAAAGGGGCAGCUAUUAUUCAUGAAACGAAUUUAAAAGUGGCUUCUUUUGAUGUGCAUGAAAUUUGUAAUAAUGUUUAUAUAGCAUGAUCGGAAGUUAAUAUGUGAAACAACAGCUUUGGCUUUUGUUAUUAAGCUUGUGAAACCUCUUGUCAAUGAAUCUAUGUGAUCA